rnacentral:lncRNA from 1 species
ACAUAUUGUUCACUUUGAAUAUCUUAAAAUUUCAGGCAAGUAUAUCGCUGUUACAAAUAGGAAUAAUUUAUCUAGGCGUUAGUUGUUGAGGAUAAGCGAAGUUGGCUGGACAACAUCUUCAAUACUUCAAAAAAAUUGAAUCAGCAGCAGGGCUGGGAACCCGAUCGGAACCCGGAACCCGGAACCCUCAGAACCCGCAUGUUUAUGCGGAACCGGAACCGGAACCCGAACCCGAAACUUCGGACCUUCAGAACCGGAACCGGAACCGGAACCGCCGGGGCACAAUCCGAGAACAGGGUUCCUACACGGGUUCCGUAUCGGUUCCGUGACAGCUGAUGUUGCAGCAACGCCGGGUUUGAGACGGCCCCGUAUCCAAGGAAAUUGUAACAAAUUUUUUAUCGGUGAAAAAUCAAUUUAAUUGAGCGAACUCAUUUUAAGUGAAGUGGAAUUUUAAAAAGUAAAAUGGGAAGUAUUAGAAUUUUUUUUGACUACAUCAAGGAAGAAAAUAAAUCAGUUUGUAGACGUUGCAAAGAAAAAAUAGGAGGGAAUCAUGUAACAAACUUAAAAAAGCAUGUCCGAACGCAGCACAAGGAGGAAUACGAAGAGUGGUUAAACAAACAAAAGACCGAAGAAGAAGAUAACCUCAAAAACAAAAAACGGAAUCGAGAAGACGAAGAUGCUGCAGCAGGAAGUUCAGAAAUGGUUGCAGCAGCAUACAGAAGAGGAAGAAGAAGAAUGCGGGUUGGACAAUCAGUUUUUCCAAAACGACGAAGAAGAAAUGGGGCAGAUUCGAGGUUUUCGCUGUGCGGCUCAUACCCUACAAUUAACUAUAGCUGAUGUGUGGAAAAGUGGAAAGUACUCCAACGUCUUAGCCAAAGUCCGACGAGCUGUGAAAGAGUUGAAAAAUACAAACGUCGUGAUUCUACUGAAACUAAAGAAGUUGAAUGUGGCCAUAAUAGAUUGCCCAACGAGGUGGUCCUCCACGUACCUUAUGCUGCAACGGCUAAUCUCGCUGAGAGAAUUUUGCGUGGAGUAUGCAGGCUCCUUCCCUAACCUGCACUUGACUGAGGGCACUUGGAAUAUUAUCACAGAGAUGUUAACCUCUCUUCAGCCGUUGGACAUUGCAACAAAGCAACUCCAGUCAGAGGACUUACUCAUGGGUGACUUACUCGCUGCUUGGACCAAUUGCGUUCUUCACCUUAUUUCUGUCGGUACCAACAUCUCGGAAGACUUAUAUAAAGCAAUGCAGAAAAGGCAAGAUAUUCUGUUAGAAAAUGCAAUUUUCUGCAGUUCGGUGUUGAUGGACCCGCGAUAUAAGGGCCUCCUGAGCAAGCAGCAGAAAGAAAAAGCUAUUACUCAUCUACUCACUACGUGGCAAACCAUCAAUCUACUGGAGGCGCCGGUCGAAGAUUCUCAAGAGAUUGGUUCAGCAGCAGAAUGUGCAGAAGAACUACCCCAAACGUCUGCCGAUCCCCUGGAAGGGUUUCUAGCUCAAGCAGAUGAAGCAGCGUCUUCAGCAGAAACGACUCCUCAAAACUCUGAUGAAAUUAAGCGCAUCCUGAAAAAUUACAGCACUCAAAAGAGACCCGUUGACCUGAAGAAUUAUGCUAGUCCCAUGCUGUAUUGGAAGGCAAAGAAGGCGGAUUCUCAUCCCAACUUCGUAUUGUACAAACUUGCUCAGGUGGUUUUAUCAGCUCCUGCCACGCAGGUUAGUGUUGAAAGACUGUUUUCGGGCCUAGCGUUCAUUCUAUCCCCCUCAGAGCCAGCAUCGCGCCGGACUUGCUGGAAAGUAUCCUGUUGCUCCGGUAUGCUUAAGUAAUAUCAUUUUCAAUUGCUUGAUUCAAAUUAUUGUUUCUAAAUUAAUCAUUUUGAUUGCUUCAUUAAAAUUGCCCAGUUUUGAACUCUCUCUCAUUUUGAGUAAUUUACUUUAAAAUUAAAUUAUUUUCGCGAAUACUAAUACCAUGGAACCCGAGUGGAACCGGUUCCGGAACCGGUUCCGGAACCGGGACCCGAAUCUUCGGACCCCCGGAACCGGAACCGGAACCGGAACCCGAAUCAUUGGACCAUGAGAACCGGAACCGGAACCGGUUCCAAAAUCCAUUCGGGUUCCCAGCCCUGAUCAGCAGACUUACGCCUUUCGCCAACUAAUCAAAAUUGUGAAUCAAAAACAUUUCUAAUGUUCUAUUUUGCCCAUUUCCAGUUAUCAGUUAUCCAGUUAUUUAAGUUAUCCUACGGAAUCGUUUUAUGGGCUUCUCCACCAGAACUAAGGGCUUGCUAGAAGCCCAAAAUAGGGCACUGAGAAUAACAGAAAACACCAUUCAAUUUUCCAUAUAGAGAGAUUUUUGUAAAAUUAAAAAUUUUAACAGUCCACAACCUUUUUAUUUUUGAGCUGUUGGAGACAUCAAUAAAGAAGGGUCUGAUGACUCAAAAUGGAAUGAUCUCAAACCAUUCUUACACGACAAGACAUUAUUUUUACAAAAUCGAGCCCAUAGUGUCAGAUCUUCCAUUUUCAGUUAGCAGUUUGGCAGUAAACAUUUUUAAUAUCCUGUCAAAAGAUUUAAAAGUAACAUUUAAAGAAAAUGGAUCCUCUCCAUUUCUCUCAAAGUCGAAGGAUAAACUUAUAAAUCAACCAUAUUACGUUACAGUCUACAUGAGUUCUACGACUCUCCAGUUAGUGUAUCAUUUUACUGUAAUCUAGUCU